rnacentral:rRNA from 1 species
GACGAACGCUGGCGGCGUGCUUAACACAUGCAAGUCGAACGAGAAUCUGCGGAAAGAGGAUUCGUCCAAUUGAAGCAGAGGACAGUGGCGGACGGGUGAGUAACGCGUGAGGAACCUGCCUUUCAGAGGGGGACAACAGUUGGAAACGACUGCUAAUACCGCAUGACACAUUGGGGUCGCAUGGCCCUGAUGUCAAAGAUUUAUCGCUGAAAGAUGGCCUCGCGUCUGAUUAGCUAGUUGGUGAGGUAACGGCCCACCAAGGCGACGAUCAGUAGCCGGACUGAGAGGUUGAACGGCCACAUUGGGACUGAGAUACGGCCCAGACUCCUACGGGAGGCAGCAGUGGGGAAUAUUGGGCAAUGGGCGCAAGCCUGACCCAGCAACGCCGCGUGAAGGAAGAAGGCUUUCGGGUUGUAAACUUCUUUUGUCAGGGACGAGUAGAAGACGGUACCUGACGAAUAAGCCACGGCUAACUACGUGCCAGCAGCCGCGGUAAUACGUAGGUGGCAAGCGUUGUCCGGAUUUACUGGGUGUAAAGGGCGUGUAGCCGGGAGGGCAAGUCAGAUGUGAAAUCCACGGGCUUAACUCGUGAACUGCAUUUGAAACUGUUCUUCUUGAGUAUCGGAGAGGCAAUCGGAAUUCCUAGUGUAGCGGUGAAAUGCGUAGAUAUUAGGAGGAACACCAGUGGCGAAGGCGGAUUGCUGGA